AGGUUGUGUCAACUAGUACAUUACACUCAGAUUGUCAGACUGUAUCAUAUAAUGAUAUUUCCAAAUCGCAUUAAAAUUCAAGUUGUACUCACAAUAAUUAAAAUCCUUGGUAAAAGCGAAGAGAUUUUCUUGAGUUUAAUUGUAAGUUUAGAUACUGUUAGAGUGCCUAUCAAUGUUUUAUCAAAAAGAAUCUGCUAAUCAAAAAAUCAAACUUUUAGUUGGAAACUUGACAACACUUCGUUUCUCAAAAACGUAAAAAGUGCGGAAGGCGCUGAUUUCGCGCGGGAUGGCGCGGGCUUGCUUCUUUCUUAUCUGCAUGUCCAUGUGAAAUUGUGAAUUGUGUACGUACGUCUAACCGGUCUAACGAGCAAUUUUAAUCACAACAAGGAUGAUUAUAUCUCCUUAUUAAGGGGAUCAGUAACUCUAUCACCGUCAAUAUGAAUCCGGAUAUGGAGAGUCACACCUACACCAUUGGUGGGGUGGUAGUUCACUUUCCCCACAAAGCCUAUGGAGCUCAAGUAGCAAUCAUGGAUAAGGUUAUUCGCGGUUGUAAUUCGAGUCGGAAUUGCCUAGUCGAAAGUCCUACAGGAUCUGGAAAACUUUAGCCCUGUUAUGCUCAGCGUUAGCAUGGCAGGGAGUUCAAAAGGUAAGAUAAUUUUGUUUAUCAGCUUAAGUGAAGAUCGGAGGUUUUUCAUUGAUUAUUUAAACACCGUACUUGGUGCCUUAUCAAUACUG
rnacentral:lncRNA from 1 species